GCCCUGAAGCGGAUGCCGCCCAAACGCCCGUUCAGACGGC
rfam:Neisseria gonorrhoeae FA 1090, complete genome.